rnacentral:rRNA from 1 species
GAUGAACGCUAGCGGCAGGCCUAAUACAUGCAAGUCGGACGGGAUUUGGGAGCUUGCUCCUAAUGAGAGUGGCGCACGGGUGCGUAACACGUAUGUAACCUACCUUAAUCAGGGGGAUAGCCUCUCGAAAGAGAGAUUAACACCGCAUAAUAUAUUUUUAUGGCAUCGUAGAAAUAUCAAAUAUUUAUAGGAUUAGGAUGGGCAUGCGGGACAUUAGCUAGUUGGUAAGGUAACGGCUUACCAAGGCCACUAUGUUUAGGGGAUCUGAGAGGAUGACCCCCCACACUGGUACUGAGACACGGACCAGACUCCUACGGGAGGCAGCAGUAAGGAAUAUUGGUCAAUGGGCGCAAGCCUGAACCAGCCAUGCCGCGUGCAGGAAGACGGCCCUAUGGGUUGUAAACUGCUUUUGUACCGGAAUAAACCCUUUUACGUGUAGAAGGCUGAAUGUACGGUAAGAAUAAGGAUCGGCUAACUCCGUGCCAGCCGCCGCUGUAA